rnacentral:lncRNA from 1 species
AUGCAAAAUGGUUGCUUUUUUGUUGAUUGUUGGGAAUGUGUUCAUUCACAUAAUGCACAGCUAGUGAGUUUGAGGGGUGUUCUGCAAAUCAGCAGUACUCUCCUUUUCUUCCAGAUGAGAAAUAUGAGAGUGAAUGGGAGACUGAUGAAGAGUCCACCUUGGGGAGUGAUGAAGAAAAUUCUAGAUCUGAAGAUGAAGUCUUUGAUGUCUCCGUUUGUCCAAAGAACUGUGAUAAGGCGCUCUUCCAAAACACCAUCCAGCUCCGGGAGAAGUGGUUAGACAUUGAGGAGUCUUUAACAAAGGAGAAGAGAGUUGCUGCUAACCUCAGAAAGAAAUAUAACGUCUUGGUCCAAAAGGUAUGGUGCUGUUGUCUUCUCAGAAGGCAUGAGCUGGCUCCAGUACAAUGAAAAUGUUGUGCUAUUGGUUUUGGCUAAGAUUUAAAAUGGAAAUCAUUACCUUUUACGUGGCCUCAGUUUGGGUAGAGAUAACCAUGCUAGCACCCAGGCAGGAGGCAGCUCACCAUGGGUCACCCAUCCUCCUGGAAAGCGUCAAUCAAGGUGGUCUAACCUUAGCUGGUAGGGGGCUGGAUCCAGGUUUUAGGUCCAGUUUCUCCCCAAUUGUCUAACCACAUGCAGCAGCAGAAACCAGACUCUGAUUCAGAUGCAAUGCCCGAUGCAGCUUGGCCCAUCCCGUGUGCAUGUGUAUGGGGUUGGAGAACAUAAAGAGUCGCCCUAACACACAUGCAUACUAAAAUAAACCAUAAAAAUGCUAUCCUUCCAUCUGUUUCUUUUGCUUUUAGUUAUUUUCUUCUGCUCUUUGUCAUAGUAAUUAUUGAAUAAACUCACUUGGUGCAAGUUUUCCUUUUAGCUUUUUUGAGCUCCUGCAUUCAUCAAGACAUUUGAUUUAUAUUAAUUCAAAAAUAUCUUAAUUUAGAGGGUUUUCUGGGAUAGAGGGAGAGUUCUGCCAAAAUACCAUUAUGCAAGGCUUGCUUUUAUUGUGUCUCAAAAAUGUCCCAGCAAAUAUGCUUAACUUACAACGUUUUUUGUUUAGUUUUUAAAGGCUUUCCUAAGUGCCAGCUGCCACAUAUUCACCCUGGGGUCUGACAUUUGAGUUUGAAUUGUUUCUUUCUCAUGCAGAAUCAAUAAGCAUUUCCAGGCAUAAUACAAUAAAAAAAUAUCUUGCAGACUCUGUUGAUCUAGAAGUGUAUUGGACACUAAACAAAGAAACUGUCUCUUGAUACAUACAGGGCUUCUCAAGUAAGGAGAUAUAUUUAAGUGUACAUGCGUACAAAAGUAUUCAGCAUAGAAUUUUGUUUGAAUACAUAGAUGAGCCUCAUGUUAACCUAUGAAACUCAUCUGUCAUAAUACAUGGAAAAAAAGAGCAUUCUUUCCAUGCUUCUUUUGCUUCAGAUCAAGGACUCUAACACAGAUCCUUGCUGUCUUGUGUAUUUGAGUACUGUAAGGUUUUUGUCUGUCCACAAUUUGUCUUUCUGCAGGCAAAAGCAGUAGAAGCCAGUCUGAACACAGCAGAGAGGGAACUGGACACCUUUCAAUGGGAAAAGCAGCAUAAACUUAAUGAGUUAUACGCAGUUGUGCCUUUGAAACUUCAUCAGGUAAUUCAGGAUUUCAUGUAUUUAUUACUUCCGGCAGGUGCAGAAUGGCCUAUGUACAUCUAAACAGUAGUGUUACUCGGUUUUUGAGCUUUUACUUCCUAAUUUACUAUAGUCUCCAUGGAGUGACAGUGUCAUUAAUUGAACUUCAUAAUGCUAUUUCCUCUAGGUUUGUUUUCCUUCAAGUAAGGACAGGUAGGGGCAGCACGUUGCUGAAAUGUGUGCAGCCUUCAAGUGUUUUAUAGGUUUGGCAUGGAAUAUUCCUUCAGGUCUAUGUUUGCUGAUACUCUCCUGAAAACAAAACUAAUAAAAACAAAGAAACAAAACCACCAACAACAAACUACUGAAAGUCAUGGGAGUUUUUCCCAAUUCAAGAAUGCUGAAUUGUAUGCAAAAAUGUAUCCAUCUGUGCAGCUGUUAUCCCAGGGAUGAUUAGUAGAAAAUGAAGAUGAAAACUCAAGACAAUACUGUUAUUUCCUCUGGGCUGCAUCUUGUCCUCAGAGAAAAAACAUAGGCUUUUGCCUCUUGUUGCUCAUACACCUCUGAAGCAAACUCAGCUCUCUCCAUUUGUUUUCCCUACCUGCAUUAAAAUGUUGGUAAGAAAGCAGGGCCUGUCACUCUUCUGUCUAUGCAAUUCUGCAGGUCUCAGUUCAUUCAGAAGCACAGAGACACUCAACAGGGAGUCCCCUACUCUAUUUCCAGUGCUACAGAAAGGAAGACAGCUUUGUAUACAGGGAAUCAUCACGGCUCUAAGUAGCCUUUGAGCUGCUGAGUGGUAGUAAUUCCGUGGCCCAAAACAUGAGAACUGUGCUCACACUAUUAUCUCAUUCCUUAGUUUUCAAAUUCUUAUACAUUUGUUGUCCAGAGUGAUCAUCGGUGCCCUUAACAAGUCAAAUUAGCCUUGCUUAUGGGUAAUUUCUGCUUCUGACAGGUGGAAUACUUCGUUAAUGGGGAGAUACCCAGUGACCUCUCCCAAGCCCUGGUAUUUACCAACCAGUCCUUAGAGUAUCUGCAGAAGAGAAUUGUGGACCUACGUAAUGAAAAAAUAAUGCAGAGAGAGAUGUAUAAGAAGGCACAGCAGCAACAUAAGAAACUUAUCCAUGACAAAAAGGAGAUGGAGAUAAAUAUUCGCCGUGAGUAACAGACUCCAAACAACACAGCCUUCUAGUGCUCAUGCUGUCCCCUCUCUGGGUGUGGGUCACUCAGCAGAUGUCUGUCUUUACUCUCACCCAAAUGUCACAGCUGGUUACUGUAGAAAAUAAACCAGAGGGGAUCGGGUGGAUUGUUCUGACGAAGUAUUGGUAGUUCUCCAGCACUGCAGAGUCAUUAGGCUAUGUUAAAUAAUUUGGGAACUUAGUAAAAGGAGCGCUGACUGAGAUGAGACACUGGGAAUCAGGACACACAAUUGCUAUUUCUGGCUCUAUGCAGGAGCUGCUAGAAAACAGUUCUUUUGGAAAAGCCACAUAAGCUUUUCAUGCAAGUUCCUUCUCCGUGUAACAUAAGAAUGAUAAAAGCUCUAUUCAAGACAUUUACAAACAUAAAAUGGGGAACCAGACCCAGAGAUGUCCCGGUGUCUCCACCACCGAACCUCCUCCUGCCAACCCACUGAAGCUUUUUAUAGUCCAUGGUGUGGAGGUGGCUCACUAGGACUGGCUGAGAGUGUGGCUUUGUGACAACACAGGUGUGGUCAUGGGCAAGAACCAGUGGCAAUAUGCUGUUGUGAUUUCUGUGUGGCUUUGUGUAAAUUAUUUAUUCUAGAGUGUAUGCCACCAAGCUCAGACAGAAAGCUGG